GUAGGUGGCAAGCGUUGUCCGGAAUUAUUGGGCGUAAAGCGCGCGCAGGCGGUUCUUUAAGUCUGAUGUGAAAGCCCACGGCUCAACCGUGGAGGGUCAUUGGAAACUGGAGAACUUGAGUGCAGAAGAGGAAAGCGGAAUUCCACGUGUAGCGGUGAAAUGCGUAGAGAUGUGGAGGAACACCAGUGGCGAAGGCGGCUUUCUGGUCUGUGACUGACGCUGAGGCGCGAAAGCGUGGGGGAGCAAACAGGAUUAGAUACCCUGGUAGUCCACGCCGUAAACGAUGAGUGCUAAGUGUUAGGGGGUUUCCGCCCCUUAGUGCUGCAGCUAACGCAUUAAGCACUCCGCCUGGGAGUACGGCCGCAAGGCUG
rnacentral:rRNA from 1 species